AGCAAUACAUGGGCGACGACCGGCAAACGGGUGCGUAACACGUACGCAAUCUACCCACUACAGGGGAAUAGCCCAGGGAAACUUGGAUUAAUACCCCAUAUUAUAUGGAGUUGGCAUCAACUUUAUAUCAAAGCUUCGGCGGUAGUGGAUGAGCGUGCGGUUGAUUAGAUAGUUGGCGGGGUAACGGCCCACCAAGUCUACGAUCAAUAGCUGAUGUGAGAGCAUGAUCAGCCACACGGGCACUGAGACACGGGCCCGACUCCUACGGGAGGCAGCAGUAAGGAAUAUUGGGCAAUGGACGCAAGUCUGACCCAGCCAUGCCGCGUGAAGGAUGAAGGUCCUCUGGAUUGUAAACUUCUUUUAUCUGGGGCGAAAACAACUCUUUCUAGAGUUCUUGACAGUACCAGAGGAAUAAGCACCGGCUAACUCCGUGCCAGCAGCCGCGGUAAUACGGAGGGUGCAAGCGUUAUCCGGAUUCACUGGGUUUAAAGGGUGCGUAGGCGGGUUAGUAAGUCAGUGGUGAAAUCCCCGAGCUUAACUUGGGAACUGCCGUUGAUACUAUUAGUCUUGAAUAUCGUGGAGGUAAGCGGAAUAUGUCAUGUAGCGGUGAAAUGCUUAGAUAUGACAUAGAACACCAAUUGCGAAGGCAGCUUGCUACACGAUUAUUGACGCUGAGGCACGAAAGCGUGGGGAUCAAACA
rnacentral:rRNA from 1 species